CUCUCCUUGCUUUACAUUGGGCCUACCCCUAGGCCUGUCAGUGUGAGCUGGGAAUGCAGCACGCUCAUUGGCUUAGGCCUCAUUCCCAUCAUCCAACCCUGGCUCCAGGAGGAUGGGAUUAGUGUGACUCAAACACGUGGAAAGGAGUGGUUCUUCUGAGGAAAACCAGCUCAAGUACUACAGAAAGAGGAAAUGCUGCAGAGACCCAGCCGGAAACAGUGCUGGCCAGCUCACGCCUGACCCACCCUCAUUCUAAGCAUAGGGUCUGCCUCUGAAGAGCUAAAGACUUCCUGAAAUUUAAAAAUUAGUGCUUUUAUUUGCUUGUCCUGCUAAGACCGUAGGCAAAGGCCAUCCUCCUCCCAUUGACAGUUUAGAGUGGGCAGAAACAACCACGGUUACCCUAGAAGUAAAUCCAGAGCUGCGGGACGUUGGAGGACAAAACCAACCUUCCAGGGAAGCCGAGGAGAAGUCAUGCCUUCAAAAGGUGUCUGCCUUUUUUUUUUUCACCCUCUCUCCUCUAACCUGUUUGUAACUGGGAAAUGAAAUAGUUUUGGUUUGCAAGCUGUCGCCAGGGAGUGGAGCAAGACUUUGUAAUAAACAAGAGCAACUGCCAGAGCCCCCAGCGAGCCUCUCCAAGACCAGACUGCCAAGAAAACCUGGCAGUGUGACAGCAAGGUUCAUUCAGCGUGGCCGGUGGUCACUGAGGAGCGACCAUGAGGCGGAUGGCCAGAGGGAGUACCCCCCAGUCUCACCUUGGGGAAGAGUACAGCCUCCUAUUAGUGAGCUGUGUGGGCUAUUAAAAUUCCCCCAGGCUGAGUGUUUCAGGAAGCACCAUAAAUAAAUAAAAUUUUGUGUGUGUGUG